UACGUAGGGUGCAAGCGUUCAAUCGGAAUUACUGGGCGUAAAGCGUGCGCAGGCGGUUGUGCAAGACAGAUGUGAAAUCCCCGGGCUCAACCUGGGAAUUGCAUUUGUGAACUGCACGGCUAGAGUGUGUCAGAGGGGGGUAGAAUUCCACGUGUAGCAGUGAAAUGCGUAGAGAUGUGGAGGAAUACCGAUGGCGAAGGCAGCCCCCUGGGAUAACACUGACGCUCAUGCACGAAAGCGUGGGGAGCAAACAGG
rnacentral:rRNA from 1 species